CGUACACUCCUGCGGGAGGCAGCAGUGGGGAAUAUUGGACAAUGGGCGCAAGCCUGAUCCAGCCAUGCCGCGUGAGUGAUGAAGGCCCUAGGGUUGUAAAGCUCUUUCACCGGUGAAGAUAAUGACGGUAACCGGAGAAGAAGCCCCGGCUAACUUCGUGCCAGCAGCCGCGGUAAUACGAAGGGGGCUAGCGUUGUUCGGAUUUACUGGGCGUAAAGCGCACGUAGGCGGACUAUUAAGUCAGGGGUGAAAUCCCGGGGCUCAACCCCGGAACUGCCUUUGAUACUGGUAGUCUUGAGUUCGAGAGAGGUGAGUGGAAUUCCGAGUGUGGAGGUGAAAUUCGUAGAUAUUCGGAGGAACACCAGUGGCGAAGGCGGCUCACUGGCUCGAUACUGACGCUGAGGUGCGAAAGCGUGGGGAGCAAACAGGAUUAGAUACCCCGGUAGUCGCAUG
rnacentral:rRNA from 1 species